UACGAAGGGGGCUAGCGUUGUCGCGAAUUACUGGGCGUAAAGCGCACGUAGGCGGACAUUUAAGUUGGAGGUGAAAGCCUUGGGCUCAACCCAAGAAUUGCCUUUGAUACUGGAUGUCUCGAGACCGGGAGAGGUGAGUGGAAUUCCGAGUGUAGAGGUGAAAUUCGUAGAUAUUGGGAAGAACACCGGUGGCGAAGGCGGCUCACUGGCUCAUUACUGACGCUCAGGCGCGACAGCGUGGGGAUCAAACAGG
rnacentral:rRNA from 1 species